rnacentral:rRNA from 1 species
CCUACGGGGGGCAGCAGUGAGGAAUAUUGGUCAAUGGGCGAGAGCCUGAACCAGCCAAGUCGCGUGAGGGAGUACUGCCCUAUGGGUUGUAAACCUCUUUUGUCGGGGAGCAAAAGCCGGACGUGUCCGGCUGUGAGAGUACCCGAAGAAAAAGCAUCGGCUAACUCCGUGCCAGCAGCCGCGGUAAUACGGGGGAUGCGAGCGUUAUCCGGAUUUAUUGGGUUUAAAGGGUGCGCAGGCGGAUUUUUAAGUCAGCGGUAAAAUCGUGGGGCUCAACCCCAUCCAGCCGUUGAAACUGGGGAUCUAGAGUGUGCGAGAGGUAUGCGGAAUGCGUGGUGUAGCGGUGAAAUGCAUAGAUAUCACGCAGAACCCCGAUUGCGAAGGCAGCAUACCGGUGCACAACUGACGCUCAGGCACGAAAGCGUGGGUAUCGAACAGGAUUAGAUACCCCGGUAGUC